UACGUAGGGGGCAAGCGUUGUCCGGAAUCAUUGGGCGUAAAGAGCGCGUAGGCGGCCCUGUAAGUCCGCUGUGAAAGUCAAGGGCUCAACCCUUGGAUGCCGGUGGAUACUGCAGGGCUAGAGUCCGGAAGAGGCGAGUGGAAUUCCUGGUGUAGCGGUGAAAUGCGCAGAUAUCAGGAGGAACACCGGUGGCGAAGGCGGGUCUCUGGGCCGAUAUUGACGCUGAGGAGCGAAAGCGUGGGGAGCGAACAGG
rnacentral:rRNA from 1 species